rnacentral:rRNA from 1 species
GGGGAAUAUUGCGCAAUGGGGGAAACCCUGACGCAGCAACGCCGCGUGUGUGAUGAAGGCCUUCGGGUCGUAAAGCACUGUCGAGUGGAACGAGAAGGUGGGCGUUAAUAGCGUCCGCCCCGACGGUACCAUUUGAGGAAGCACCGGCUAACUCCGUGCCAGCAGCCGCGGUAAUACGGAGGGUGCAAGCGUUGUUCGGAAUUAUUGGGCGUAAAGCGCGCGCAGGUGGACUGCAAGGUCUGGUGUGAAAGCCCUCGGCUCAACCGAGGAAGCGCAUUGGAAACCGGUAGUCUUGAGUCCCGGAGAGGGUAGCGGAAUUCCCAGUGUAGAGGUGAAAUUCGUAGAUAUUGGGAGGAACCCCGGUGGCGAAGGCGGCUACCUGGACGGUGACUGACGCUGAGGCGCGAAAGCAUGGGGAGCAAAC